rnacentral:rRNA from 1 species
UAAUACGUAGGGUGCGAGCGUUAAUCGGAAUUACUGGGCGUAAAGCGUGCGCAGGCGGUUUUGUAAGACAGAGGUGAAAUCCCCGGGCUCAACCUGGGAACUGCCUUUGUGACUGCAAGGCUUGAGUGCGGCAGAGGGGGAUGGAAUUCCGCGUGUAGCAGUGAAAUGCGUAGAUAUGCGGAGGAACACCGAUGGCGAAGGCAAUCCCCUGGGCCUGCACUGACGCUCAUGCACGAAAGCGUGGGGAGCAAACAGGAUUAGAUACCCUGGUAGUCCACGCCCUAAACGAUGUCAACUGGUUGUUGGGAAGGUUCCUUCUCAGUAACGUAGCUAACGCGUGAAGUUGACCGCCUGGGGAGUACGGCCGCAAGGUU